rnacentral:rRNA from 1 species
UACGUAGGUGGCAAGCGUUGUCCGGAAUUAUUGGGCGUAAAGCGCGCGCAGGCGGUCCUUUAAGUCUGAUGUGAAAGCCCACGGCUCAACCGUGGAGGGUCAUUGGAAACUGGGGGACUUGAGUGCAGGAGAGAAGAGUGGAAUUCCACGUGUAGCGGUGAAAUGCGUAGAGACGUGGAGGAACACCAGUGGCGAAGGCGACUCUUUGGCCUGUAACUGACGCUGAGGCGCGAAAGCGUGGGGAGCAAACAGG